CCCCCCCCCCCCCCCCCCCCCCCCCCCCCCCCCCCCCCCCCCCCCCCCCCCCCCCCCGAGCCGCCCUGCGAGCGGAAAGGGAGCGCCUGGGGGAUUCUGUGCUCCGCAGAGUGCGCUGUGGGGGUGCUGGUGCGCCCUUGUGUUACCUUGCGCCGUGACUGAUGCCUGUCAGGUCUCGAAUCACGCGAUUUCAUUCAAUGACGUUCAGUACAGCUCCUGCCACUCCCUGCAAGGACAGCAACAGACUGCAUGUGCUGUGGUGAGCUGGGGACAGGUGACAGAAGCAGAGCCACUGCCGGCAAAGAUGAGAGCACAAGUAGAAGUAGAAGCUUUGAUGAUGCAGCACAUAUGGAAAGAGGGAAAUGAGUGA
rnacentral:lncRNA from 12 species